UACGUAGGGUGCGAGCGUUGUCCGGAAUUACUGGGCGUAAAGGGCGCGUAGGUGGCCCGACAAGUCAGUGGUGAAAGCUCGACGCUCAACGUCGAGUCGGCCACUGAUACUGUUGGGCUGGAGCACUGUAGAGGCAGAUGGAAUUCCGAGUGUAGAGGUGAAAUUCGUAGAUAUUCGGAAGAACACCAGUGGCGAAGGCGGCUCACUGGACUGGUAUUGACGCUGAGGUGCGAAAGCGUGGGGAGCAAACAGG
rnacentral:rRNA from 1 species